AACGAAAUUGCUCAGUUGGGAGAGCGUUAGACUAGAUCGAAAAGUCCCUGGUUCGAUGCCGCGUUCCGGCA
rnacentral:tRNA from 1 species